rnacentral:rRNA from 1 species
UACGUAGGGUGCGAGCGUUAAUCGGAAUUACUGGGCGUAAGGCGUGCGCAGGCGGUUUUUGCAAGCCGGAUGUGAAAUCCCCGGGCUCAACCUGGGGAAUGGCGAUGGAGACUGCAAGGCUAGAGUUUGGCAGAGGGGGGGUAGAAUUCCACGUGUAGCAGUGAAAAUGCGUAGAUAUGUGGAGGAACACCCGAUGGGCGAAAGGGCAGCUUUACUAUGGGUAUGAUUUACGUGAGGGCACUAAAAGCUGGGGGGAUCAAA